rnacentral:rRNA from 1 species
GACGAACGCUGGCGGCGUGCUUAACACAUGCAAGUCGAACGGUGAAACGCCUUCCUUUUUGGUGGGUGUGGAUGAGUGGCCAACUGGUGAAUAACACGUGAGUAACCUUCUCCCUUCUUCUGAAUAACCGCAUGACAGUGUGGCUACUACGGGAUAUUCUGGAUCUGUCGCAUGAUGGGUCUGAGAAAGAUAUUGUUUCGGUUGGGGAUGGGCUCGCGGCCUAUCAGCUUGUUGGUGGGGUGAUGGCCUACCAAGGCGGUGACGGGUAGCCGGCCUGAGAGGGUCGACGGUAACAGAGCGGAUGCGCGACGGAGCCGACUCCGGCGGGCGGCAGCAGGGGGGAUUACGGCACAAUGGGAGGAAGGCUGAUGCAGCGACGCGGCGUGAGUGAUGGAGGCCGGCGCGUUGUGAACCGUUUUCGGGAGAGAAGCAGGGUGGAAUUGUCUGUGCGCGGGUUGACGGUAGCUGGAUAAGAAGCGCCGGCUAACUACGUG